rnacentral:rRNA from 1 species
AGUGAACGCUGGCGGCAGGCCUAACACAUGCAAGUCGAACGAGUGGCGGACGGGUGAGUAAUGUCUGGGAAACUGCCCGAUGGAGGGGGAUAACUACUGGAAACGGUAGCUAAUACCGCAUACCAUCGGAUGUGCCCAGAUGGGAUUAGCUUGUAGGUGAGGUAACGGCUAACCUGGGGGACGAUCCCUAGCUGGUAUGAGAGGAUGACCAGCCAACAUGGAACGGAGACACGUGCCAGAGUCCUCCGGGAGGCAGCAGUGGGGAAUAUUGAACAAUGUGCGCAAGCCUGAUGCAGCCAUGCCGCGUGUAUGAAGAAGGCUUUCGGGUGGUAAAGUACUUUCAGCGGGGAGGCGUUACCCGCAGAAGAAGCACCGGCUAACUCCGUGCCAGCAGCCGCGGUAAUUC